rnacentral:rRNA from 1 species
UACGUAGGGCGCGAGCGUUGUCCGGAUUUAUUGGGCGUAAAGAGCUCGUAGGCGGCUCAGUAAGUCAGGUGUGAAACCUCCAGGCUCAACCUGGAGACGCCACCUGAUACUGCUGUGGCUAGAGUCCGGUAGGGGAGCGUGGAAUUCCUGGUGUAGCGGUGAAAUGCGCAGAUAUCAGGAGGAACACCGGUGGCGAAGGCGGCAUCCUGGACCGGUAUUGACGCUGAGGCGCGAAAGCCAGGGGAGCAAACGGG